UACGUAGGGUGCAAGCGUUGUCCGGAAUUAUUGGGCGUAAAGAGCUCGUAGGCGGUCUGUCGCGUCGGCUGUGAAAACCCGGAGCUCAACUCCGGGCCUGCAGUCGAUACGGGCAAACUGGAGUGUUGCAGGGGAGACUGGAAUUCCUGGUGUAGCGGUGAAAUGCGCAGAUAUCAGGAGGAACACCGGUGGCGACGGCGGGUCUCUGGGCAACAACUGACGCUGAGGAGCGAAAGCGUGGGGAGCGAACAGG
rnacentral:rRNA from 1 species